AGAGUUUGAUCCUGGCUCAGGACGAACGCUGGCGGCGUGCCUAAUACAUGCAAGUCGAGCGGACCGAAAGGAGAGCUCGCUCUCCUUUCGGUCAGCGGCGGACGGGUGAGUAACACGUGGGUAACCUGCCUGUAAGACCGGGAUAACUCGCGGAAACGCGAGCUAAUACCGGAUAGGUCCCGUGGCCGCAUGGCGACGGGAGGAAAGAUGGCGCGAGCUAUCGCUUACAGAUGGGCCCGCGGCGCAUUAGCUAGUUGGUGGGGUAACGGCCCACCAAGGCGACGAUGCGUAGCCGACCUGAGAGGGUGAUCGGCCACAUUGGGACUGAGACACGGCCCAAACUCCUACGGGAGGCAGCAGUAGGGAAUCUUCCGCAAUGGGCGAAAGCCUGACGGAGCAACGCCGCGUGAGCGAAGAAGGCCUUCGGGUCGUAAGGCUCUGUUGUCAGGGAAGAACAAGUACCGGAGUAACUGCCGGUACCUUGACGGUACCUGACCAGAAAGCCCCGGCUAACUACGUGCCAGCAGCCGCGGUAAUACGUAGGGGGCGAGCGUUGUCCGGAAUCAUUGGGCGUAAAGCGCGCGCAGGCGGUCCCUUAAGUCUGAUGUGAAAUCUUGCGGCUCAACCGCGAGAGGUCAUUGGAAACUGGGGGACUUGAGUGCAGGAGAGGGAAGCGGAAUUCCAUGUGUAGCGGUGAAAUGCGUAGAGAUAUGGAGGAACACCAGUGGCGAANGCGGCUUCCUGGCCUGUAACUGACGCUCAGGCGCGAAAGCGUGGGGAGCAAACAGGAUUAGAUACCCUGGUAGUCCACGCCGUAAACGAUGAGUGCUAGGUGUUGGAGGGGUUUCCCCUUCAGUGCUGGAGCUAACGCAUUAAGCACUCCGCCU
rnacentral:rRNA from 1 species